rnacentral:rRNA from 1 species
GACGAACGCUGACGGCGUGCUUAACACAUGCAAGUCGAAGGGAGUGGCGAACGGGUGAGUAACACGUGAGUAACCUGCCCUUUUCUUUGGGAUAAGCCUGGGAAACUGGGUCUAAUACUGGAUGGAUUGGGAUGGGCUCGCGGCUAUCAGCUUGUUGGUGGGGUGAUGGCUUACCAAGGCUUUGACGGGUAGCCGGCCUGAGAGGGUGGUCGGUCACACUGGGACUGAGAAACGGCCCAGAGUCCUACGGGGGGGAGAAGUGGGGGAUAUGGCACAAUGGACGGAAGUCUGAUGCAGCGACGUCGUGGGGGGGAUGAAGGCCUUCGGGUUGUAAACUCCUUUCGCUAGCGAACGGGUAGGUGGAGAAGAAGCGCCGGCUAACUACGUGCCAGCCGCCGCGGUAAUUC